CCUACGGGUGGCUGCAGUGGGGAAUAUUGGACAAUGGGCGAAAGCCUGAUCCAGCCAUGCCGCGUGUGUGAAGAAGGCCUUCGGGUUGUAAAGCACUUUCAGCGGGGAAGAAAGCCUUGGGGCUAAUACCCUCGAGGAAGGACAUCACCCACAGAAGAAGCACCGGCUAACUCCGUGCCAGCAGCCGCGGUAAUACGGAGGGUGCGAGCGUUAAUCGGAAUUACUGGGCGUAAAGCGCGCGUAGGCGGUCUGAUAAGCCGGUUGUGAAAGCCCCGGGCUCAACCUGGGAACGGCAUCCGGAACUGUCAGGCUAGAGUGCAGGAGAGGAAGGUAGAAUUCCCGGUGUAGCGGUGAAAUGCGUAGAGAUCGGGAGGAAUACCAGUGGCGAAGGCGGCCUUCUGGACUGACACUGACGCUGAGGUGCGAAAGCGUGGGUAGCAAACAGGAUUAGAUACCCUGGUAGUC
rnacentral:rRNA from 1 species